UACGAACCGUCCUAACGUUGUUCGGAAUCACUGGGCUUAAAGGGCGCGUAGGCGGACCACCAAGUCCGGGGUGAAAUCUUUCGGCUUAACCGGAAAAGUGCCUUGGAUACUGGUGGUCUCGAGUGAGGUAGGGGCAUGUGGAACUUCUGGUGGAGCGGUGAAAUGCGUUGAUAUCAGAAGGAACUCCGGUGGCGAAAGCGACGUGCUGGACCUCUUCUGACGCUGAGGCGCGAAAGCUAGGGGAGCGAACGGG
rnacentral:rRNA from 1 species